rnacentral:rRNA from 1 species
GACGAACGCUGGCGGCGUGCUUAACACAUGCAAGUCGAACGGAAAGGCCCUGCUUUUGUGGGGUGCUCGAGUGGCGAACGGGUGAGUAACACGUGAGUAACCUGCCCUUGACUUUGGGAUAACUUCAGGAAACUGGGGCUAAUACCGGAUAGGAGCUCCUGCUGCAUGGUGGGGGUUGGAAAGUUUCGGCGGUUGGGGAUGGACUCGCGGCUUAUCAGCUUGUUGGUGGGUAGUGGCCUACCAAGGCUUUGACGGGUAGCCGGCCUGAGAGGGUGACCGGCCACAUUGGGACUGAGAUACGGCCCAGACUCCUACGGGAGGCAGCAGUGGGGAAUAUUGCACAAUGGGCGGAAGCCUGAUGCAGCAACGCCGCGUGCGGGAUGACGGCCUUCGGGUUGUAAACCGCUUUCGCCUGUGACGAAGCGUGAGUGACGGUAAUGGGUAAAGAAGCACCGGCUAACUACGUG